GAUGAACGCUGGCGGCGUGCUUAACACAUGCAAGUCGAACGGUGAAGCAGGAGCUUGCUCUGUGGAUCAGUGGCGAACGGGUGAGUAACACGUGAGCAAUCUGCCCUGGACUCUGGGAUAAGCGUUGGAAACGACGUCUAAUACCGGAUACGAGGCGUGGGGGCAUCCCCAACGCCUGGAAAGAACUUCGGUCCAGGAUGAGCUCGCGGCCUAUCAGGUAGUUGGUGAGGUAACGGCUCACCAAGUCUACGACGGGUAGCCGGCCUGAGAGGGUGACCGGCCACACUGGGACUGAGACACGGCCCAGACUCCUACGGGAGGCAGCAGUGGGGAAUAUUGCACAAUGGGCGCAAGCCUGAUGCAGCAACGCCGCGUGAGGGACGACGGCCUUCGGGUUGUAAACCCCUUUUAGCAGGGAAGAAGCGAAAGUGACGGUACCUGCAGAAAAAGCACCGGCUAACUACGUGCCAGCCGCCGCGGUAAUAC
rnacentral:rRNA from 1 species